rnacentral:rRNA from 1 species
UCCUGGGCUCAGGAUGAACGCUAGCGGCAGGCUUAACACAUGCAAGUCGAGGGGUAUAGUAGCAAUACUAGAGACCGGCGCACGGGUGCGUAACGCGUAUGCAACCUACCUUUACAGAGGGAUAGCCCAGAGAAAUUUGGAUUAAUGCCCCAUAGUGUUAUCGAAUCGCAUGGUUUGAUAACUAAAGUUCCAACGGUGAAAGAUGAGCAUGCGUCCCAUUAGCUAGAUGGUAAGGUAACGGCUUACCAUGGCUACGAUGGGUAGGGGUCCUGAGAGGGAGAUCCCCCACACUGGUACUGAGACACGGACCAGACUCCUACGGGAGGCAGCAGUGAGGAAUAUUGGUCAAUGGACGCAAGUCUGAACCAGCCAUGCCGCGUGCAGGAUGACGGUCCUAUGGAUUGUAAACUGCUUUGUACGAGAAGAAACAACAUUACGUGUAAUGUCUUGACGGUAUCGUAAGAAUAAGGAUCGGCUAACUCCGUG